AACGACUCUCGGCAACGGAUAUCUCGGCUCUCGCAUCGAUGAAGAACGUAGCGAAAUGCGAUACUUGGUGUGAAUUGCAGAAUCCCGUGAACCAUCGAGUUUUUGAACGCAAGUUGCGCCCGAAGCUUUUGGCUUAGGGCACGUCUGCCUGGGCG
rnacentral:rRNA from 1 species